UGCCAACAAGUUUGCAACCAUGCUUCACAGGAACACCCACAAACUCACUGUAAUUCUAGUCUAUGCAGUCCUUGAAUGGAUCUUGAUCAUUCUCCUUCUCCUCAACUCUUUCUUCACUUACCUUAUAACCAAAUUUGCCAACUACUUUGGACUUAAACCACCUUGCCUGUGGUGUUCCAGGGUUGAUCAUAUGUUGGAGCCUGGAAAUAAUACCAACUCUUAUAGAGAUCUUGUAUGUGAGGCUCAUGCCACUGAGAUUUCCAAGCUUGGCUACUGCUCAAAUCAUCGACGGCUGGCUGAAACACAGAAUAUGUGCAUGGACUGCUUGGCCUCUCGGCCAAAUCAUAAUGAUGAGUCAAUGGGAAUCACAAGAAGGAUUGCUUUCAUUUCUUGGGUGAGCAGGCAUUCACUUGAAAAUGGUGACAAGAUUCUCAGAUGUUCUUGCUGCAAUGAAAAUUUGAACAACAAUCUCUACUCUCCUUCUUUGUUGUUUAAGCGUUCUUGGAAGGCCUUGAGGUGUACCCAGAAAGGAAAUUUCAUUAUAGAAGCAAUAGAUGAUGAUGAUAAUGGAAAUGAGUGCAAACUACUAAGAAAACCAGAUAGUUUUGCACAUUACACAGAAUAUAGCAAUGAGAUUGAGAAAAAUGAUGGAGAAGAACAUCAAAUGCUUUCUGAUGUUGGAAGCUUUGGUCUAAAAGAUUCUGCAGAGGAAGAGUGUUCAGGGUCUGAAUCAAGCUUAAAAUAUGAUGAAAAUGAAGCAAAUGAAGAUCAGAAAGCACAUAUUCCUUGCAUUACAGAACAAGAAUCCUAUGGUAUGAAUUUUGUUCAUCGAUCUUUUGACGACAAGAUCACCCAGCGCUGUCUUGGAGAAGACUGUUCGCUUGAAAUCAUCGACCUGCGUUUUGACAGAAAUCUUGAGUGUGGAUUUAAUCGCUUAAUCCCUAUUGAAUUGAUUGAUUCAUCGACUUCUGAAAAUCAUGGAUCUUUCAUUUUAAAGGAAGAAGAUAUGGAAAAGCAUGACGAUCAAAAUGAAACUUUUGAUUAUUCUUUACAGAAUGAAACUCAAGUCAAGGUACAAGAGAACAAAGAGAAGCCAACUUCUGCAGACGUUGUAAGUGUGGUGAUAAAUAUGGAUGAUGGACAGAAAUCUUCGGUUUUAGAAGAAAUCCAAAAUGAUUUGGCUGGUGAGGCAUGUGAACAAAUUAUAGCUAUGCAAGCUGCUCAAACUUUAUCCAUCAGUAGCAGCAUUGUAGAAGUAGCAGACUCGAAAGAUCCUAAUGACCUUCCAGCUCAGGAAGAAAACAUGGAUGACUUCAUCUCGGUUGAUCACACCAAAUCUAAGUCCAUAGAACUGUCUGAUCAUGCAACCGAUCAGCCCCAAGCACAAGAAUCAACUCCAUUGCCCUGCCUGCAGGAAGAUGUCUCUUCCACAAAUAGCAAUGGUUCAGAAAUUCCUAAUGCUUCUGAAUCAUGCAUGCGCAAUGAAUUUGGUAAACUUCAUUCCACAUCUAUAUCUAUUCUGAUAAUCAAUCCCUCAAUUUGAGACACAACAUACAGCAAAGUAAAAUAAAAAUGGAAACAUAACGCAAGUUUGCUUUACUAGGUCCAAGAAACAGAGGAAAGACUUCUAUAGAAGAAAAAAUGAUUUCAGAUGAUAAGAACCAGAAAGCAAUAAGCCAACCUUCAUCUAUGCGUUCAGAAUCUAUUGAAGCAGAAGAAGAAAAAUUCCCUGAGACACCAACUUCUGUUGACAGUUUUCAUUACUUGCACAAGAAACUACUCCAGUUCGAGAAAAGAGAAUCAGGGACAGAAGAGUCCUUAGAUGGAAGUGUCACAAGUGAGAUGGAAGCUGGAGAUCCACUUCAAACUGUUGAAAAGCUGAAAACAGCUCUUAAAGCUGAACAAAAGGCUCUGAAUUCUUUAUAUGCAGAACUGGAGGAAGAGAGGAGUGCUUCUGCAAUUGCAGCAAACCAGACAAUGGCUAUGAUAAACAGACUACAAGAAGAGAAGGCAGCAAUGCAAAUGGAAGCAUUGCAAUACCAGAGGAUGAUGGAAGAACAAUCUGAAUAUGACCAAGAAGCUUUACAACUUUUUAAUGAGCUCAUGAUCGAGAGAGAAAGAGAGAAGCAAGAACUUGAGAAAGAGUUGGAAGUAUAUUGUAAGAAGGUUUCGGAUUAUGAGGCCAAAGAGAAAAUAAGAAUGGUAAGAAGAAGCAGGGAUGGAAGUGUGAGGAGCAUAAACUCUUGUGCUACUUGUAGCAAUGCAGAGGAUAUUGAUGUGCUAUCUAUUGAUCUUAAUCGUGAAGCAAGGGAUGAAGAUGGUAGCAUAUAUGGAAACCAAGAGAGCAGUAACAAUAAUACUCAUGGUGAUGAAGUAAUAAAUUUGGAAGAAAUAGCACUAGAUUGUGUGCAGCAAAUAAGUGCCCUUGAUGAUUCACUGGCAGAAUUUGAGGAAGAGAGGCUAUCCAUUCUAGAUCAGCUCAAGGCAUUAGAGGAGAAGAUACUUGCUUUGCAGGAAAAUGAACACAGUGAGGAUGGAAGCUCAAUGGAGCAUUCCUUAAAGUAUAGUGCAAAAGGAUACGAUGAAAAUUAUGAAUCGAGCACUCCAGAAGAAAAUGAGAUUUCACAUGAGUUAUCAAUGGAUAAACAUUAUACUGAGACGAAAACAAUGGGUUCCAUGGCAAAGAGCCUCCUUCCUCUUUUGGACGCUGCUGAUAAUGAAACUGAAGAAGGGUUUACAUUUCAAGAAAAUUUGGCUCCUGAAAUUGUUGAAAUGGAAAAUUAUUCAGUUUCCAAAUUUGAAUUAGAAAACAAGAAACUAGCCCUUGAAGAGGAGGUGGAUCAUGUUUAUGAAAGGCUGCAAGCUCUUGAAGCAGACAGGGAAUUUCUAAAGCAUUGUAUGAGUUCAAUAAAGAAGGGAGAUAAAGGAAUGGAUCUUCUCCAAGAGAUCUUGCAACAUCUGCGUGAUCUUCGGGCAGUGGAACUCCGGGUGGGGAACAUGGCUGGUGAUCUUCAGGAGUGAAAUUACACUUGAGAACUAAGAUGAAGAUGAAAGAUCCCUUUCUCAUGGGUUAGCAGGGGCCUCAACUAAAAUGGAGGAAGUUCGAGGAACUUUUUCUGCAGAAAUCCAGGAAAACUCUUGAUGGAAUGGGGAAUUCCUGGGCUGUUUUGUUUGAAUUGGUGGAUAAAAUUCAGGCUAUAAUACUGAAGUCUGCCCAAGUUCUAAAUGAUCUCUUUUGGGUUUACUACAAGAAAAGAGUUAAGCCCAAAGCCCAAAUUUUGCAGCAUCUCCUCCAGGGUGCCUUUUUCCAGGCAAAGGACAGAGGAGUGCUAUCUACCUGGUUUGAGUGUGCAGGUUUGAUCACUUGUAACUAAAUAGUUUUCCACAUUUUCUUCUUAUUCAUUUGUUCUUCAGAAGGGAAAGAUUUCAAGGCGGAAGGGGAAAGGGAAGAAGGGUAAACUCUUCCUUCUCCUAGUUUUGGGUCAGUUAUAUCAUGUGUUGUAGUAAUGUGUCAAUAUUUGUGGGUAUUAAAGUUUAUGUUUGCUUUUACACUUUGCAAAGAAAUUGUGAAUUCAAUAACCUUCCACACUAAAUAGCAGAAAUUGCAAACAUGUGAAUUGUGCAUUGGACAGUGAAAAUUUCUUGAUUAACAAACUCCGAGAAUCAUUUUAUUUCUACACAUCAGCUUCAAAUGAAGGAAUGUUUCCGUGCCGGGUAAGGGAGUAUACGCCCAAGCUGGAGCAAGAAAAUGUUAGUAUAAGACUCAGAUGGCGAACUACAAAAUCUUCCAAUGAUGACAAGGCUAAAACAUAGAACUAUAGCUGCGGAAAGAUGUUACAAAUUAUGAUAACUCUUGUUUGGCGUAACUAUAAUGUUUACGGUAGUAAUACACACUAAUUAGAAGUUUUUUGUUCGAGAGAGACAAUAUAUGGAAUACAUAGAAGUGCAGUCCACAAAUCUCGAGAUCCGAUUAUCCACUAAUAAAUUGUUGUUUAGAAUUCUCUCAUAUAAUCCAACUUAAAAUAAAAAAAAGAAAAAAAGAAACUAUGGCGACCAAAAAGAAAGCCUCCAGCUCCCAAACCACAAGAAAUUAAAUCAAAUAAAGCCAAAAUUACCUCUUUAAUUCUAAGUGAAGGGAUAAAAAAUCUACUCAACUGAAAA
rnacentral:misc_RNA from 1 species